CUCACCUUCCCAAUUUCCGAUCGUUUUCACGUUGACUGUGUUCCGAUCAAUUUUGACUUUUUUUCCGUCACCGACGAUCAUCAGUCGGAUAUGGAUACGAGUAAUUGGAAGCCUGAUCAAGGGUUAAGUGGUGCUGUUGGCGACUCCAUGGAAUCUGGUGAUUGGAGGGCUCAGCUGCAAGCAGAUUCGCGGCAGAGAAUUGUGAACAAGAUGUCCAACAAUAGUGAGCAGGUAGAUGUGAGAAGAUGUGAGG